GGGGGUGUGGCGCAAUGGUAGCGGUAAGUUCUGGCAACUCAACAUCACCUUCCCCAACAAAUAACUAACGAAUUUUCCAGCGUCAGAUUCCAGUAAUUAUGGAAUAUCCUGAAGGUUAGGCGUUCAAAUCGCCUCAUCCUCA